rnacentral:rRNA from 1 species
AUACGUAGGGAGCGAGCGUUGUCCGGAAUUACUGGGUGUAAAGGGAGCGUAGGCGGGAGUGCAAGUCAGAUGUGAAAUACAUGGGCUCAACCCAUGGGCUGCAUUUGAAACUGCAUUUCUUGAGUGAAGUAGAGGUAAGCGGAAUUCCUGGUGUAGCGGUGAAAUGCGUAGAUAUCAGGAGGAACACCGGUGGCGAAGGCGGCUGACUGGGCUUUUACUGACGCUGAGGCUCGAAAGCGUGGGGAGCAAACAGGAUUAGAUACCCUGGUAGUCCACGCUGUAAACGAUGAUUACUAGGUGUGGGGGGACUGACCCCUUCCGUGCCGCAGUUAACACAAUAAGUAAUCCACCUGGGGAGUCCGGCCGCAAGGUUGAAACUCAAAUGAAUUGACGGGG